rnacentral:rRNA from 1 species
UACGUAGGGUGCAAGCGUUAAUCGGAAUUACUGGGCGUAAAGCGCACGUAGGCGGUAUUGCAAGUCGGAUGUGAAAUCCCUCGGCUCAACCAAGGAAGUGCAUCCGAAACUGCCGUACUUGAGUACUUAAGAGGAUCGCGGAAUUCCCGGUGUAGAGGUGAAAUUCGUAGAUAUUCGGAAGAACACCAGUGGCGAAGGCGACUAACUGGACACGUAUUGACGCUGAGGUACGAAAGCGUGGGGAGCAAACAGG